rnacentral:rRNA from 1 species
AUACGUAGGGGGCGAGCGUUGUCCGGAAUGAUUGGGCGUAAAGGGCGCGUAGGCGGCCUGUUAAGUCUGGAGUGAAAGUCCUGUUUUCAAGAUGGGAAUUGCUUUGGAUACUGAUGGGCUUGAGUGCAGGAGAGGUUAUCGGAAUUCCCGGUGUAGCGGUGAAAUGCGUAGAGAUCGGGAGGAACACCAGUGGCGAAGGCGGGUAACUGGACUGCAACUGACGCUGAGGCGCGAAAGUGUGGGGGGCAAACAGGAUUAGAUACCCUGGUAGUCCACACUGUAAACGAUGAAUGCUAGGUGUAAGAGGUAUCGACCCCUUUUGUGCCGGAGUCAACACAAUAAGCAUUCCGCCUGGGGAGUACGGCCGCAAGGUUGAAACUCAAAGGAAUUGACGGGG